GGAUUCCAAGCCCAGAUUUCAUCAUAAUAAAGAAUGUUUAAUUGUUAGAUGAAGGUUCAGUCGGUGAGGGGGAACACCAAGGUUUUGAUACAAAGGUAGCUCUCUGGCUCCUCACUGCCCAAUUCUUGAAUAGCCUCAGAAAAGUAGCCUGAUAAUUAGUAGUCACUGACUUUUAAUGAUCUGAUCUCAUUCUAAUGGCACAACCCCAAAAUCUCAGGCAAGACCAGCAAUUCUCACCUCUCUGUGUUCUUUUAAGUAUGGAAACAAGGGCUGAUGAGAUGGAAGCACUCCUGGAAGCCUGACAAGCUCCACACAGUCCUACAGCGUUCCACCAUGUAAAAUCAGGCCUUCAUUUUGAACUUGGAAAUCUCCCCACUCGCAGGCAGUGGCAAUGCCAGCAAGCCACAGGUGGGCACCACAUGAGCAGAAUGAAGGUAGAUGCCUUGACUCAGAAUUGGUGGCUGUUUUAAAAGCUGGCCUUGCUUUGGACCAUUGUUGGGACUGUCUUCUUCAGCAAACAGUGAUCAUGAAACCAAAUUCAGCUUUCUUCAGGAAAAGGACAAAAACUGGGCUAGGAUGGUGCCUGGUCCAUGGUGGACAGUAACUGGUCUGUUUUGAAUGCAUGAAUUUUCAUCGUAGUUUUUGUGAUUGUGUUUAUGAAGACACUGGAGCAACAAUGUUCUGCAAUUCUAGAGAUCUUGAUGUGGUGGCAGCCUUGUAUCCAGUCCUAUGUAUGUACAUUUUGAUAUCUUACUGCCUUUUGCCAAAUAGGGCAAUAAACACCCCCCAAGAGCGCUAUCCAAUCAUAUACUCUGUAUUUGUUUCAGGUGAGCUUCCUGCAGGGCAACUUUGGCAUAUUCUCAGCAAACACAGAGUUGUUGGAUUUCACAUAAGGAGACUGUUAUCAUUUGGUCCUUGACAACUUUCAUAAACAGUCACUCUUAGCUUAACAAGCAAGUGUGUAACAGUUAAAAUUGGAAGAAAAAUAAGGCCAAAAUGGCAGCUUACUACACAACUUGCAUGCAUUCUAAAAUAAAGGAAAUAUGAAUAAAAGGUAACUUAUUCAGUGUCACUCGUACAUAUUUAUAGUUUAAAAAUUAGUCAAAGUUUAUGUCCUGAGGUUGUACCUACAGGAAGCCAGAUGUGCCUUCUGCACGUGACCUAAGACAGGCCUAGAGCAACUACUAGAUAAUUUCUCGCUCAUCCUCUACACCGUCGAUUGCGGCGGCUUUCUGAGGUGAGAGAAACUGACAGCACUAACUCUCCAGGGCAGAACUUUCCAGUCAAGUGGAUCAACG
rnacentral:lncRNA from 1 species